UUCCAGACUCCUACGGGAGGCAGCAGUGGGGAAUAUUGGUCAAUGGGCUUACGCCUGAACCAGCCAAGUCGCGUGAGGGAAGACUGCCCUAUGGGUUGUAAACCUCUUUUGUCAGGGAGCAAUUGGCGCUACGUGUAGCGUUAUCGAGAGUACCCGAAGAAAAAGCAUCGGCUAACUCCGUGCCAGCAGCCGCGGUAAUACGGAGGAUGCGAGCGUUAUCCGGAUUUAUUGGGUUUAAAGGGUGCGCAGGCGGAUUUUUAAGUCAGCGGUCAAAUCGUGGGGCUCAACCCCAUCCAGCCGUUGAAACUGGGGAUCUAGAGUGUGCGAGAGGUAUGCGGAAUGCGUGGUGUAGCGGUGAAAUGCAUAGAUAUCACGCAGAACUCCGAUUGCGAAGGCAGCAUACCGGCGCCCGACUGACGCUGAGGCACGAAAGCGUGGGGAUCGAACAGGAUUAGAUACCCUUGUAGG
rnacentral:rRNA from 1 species